AAACAACAUGGUUUGCUCAGCAUGUAAAAAGCCCAAAUCUCAUGGCAUUUUCCUCUGUGUGCUAAGUCCACUGCAGAAGAGUAAAACAUGUGACACUUAAAAAUAGGAUAUACCCUGAACUGUUGCAAAUGCCAUCUGUUCUCAAAGAAACAACUGGUAGAAAAAAAUAACCUCGGGUUGAAACAUUGCAUGAAGUUGCCAUUUACAAGCAGCUACAGAGGUUGGGACCUUCCCCACGGAUACUUGUGUAUUUCCAAGAGCUCAGCAUCAUACCAAAACCUUGGGGGUAGGGAGAGCAACUGAAUGAUGAAGUCACUCAACACCAUUAGUGGUUUGACUCUACCAAUGGAAGCUGUGUCAUCCUGACAAGAAAUCAGCUGCUGCUUGAAACCUCUGACAUUGAGGACACUGUUCCUUCAGGAGCAGGAGCAAUCUUUAUCUGGAAGGUUGACGUCAGACACAUUACAUGUGGGACAAUAGGCUGCUGGUGCUGGUGCAGGGAUCAAGUCUCCUCACCUUCACACUUCCCUCCUCCUGCACUUUGUGGUACCUGUCUUCUGACUUCUGACCAGCUACCUUUCAUGGGAGAGACUUCAACAACUGCCUCUCAGUGA
rnacentral:lncRNA from 1 species